AAAAUAAAUGAGAAAAAGCCAGAAUCAGAGACUGUCCACUAUAAUACACUGAAAGUUGCAAUGGGUAAAAUAAAUGUUAGAAAGUAAAAUAACAAAAGUAGCAAAUGAUAAAUAACUUAUAAAUUAGCUGGAGGGGGAAAGUAAACAAACAAAGUUGUCAAUGGUCUAGUAGAUCGAAAAGGAAUUCUAGAGCGUAGAAAACCAAGAACAGACCAUCUCUGCAUUACUGUGCCUUCGAGGGCACCCCUUAAUAAACGCUAAUCCCCCCUCCCCUCACUUCAGAGAAAUAGA